GACGAACGCUGGCGGCGUGCUUAACACAUGCAAGUCGAACGUGAUUUUUGUGGAAAUUCUUUCGGGAAUGGAAAUGAAAUGAAAGUGGCGAACGGGUGAGUAACACGUGAGCAACCUACCUUACACAGGGGGAUAGCCGUUGGAAACGACGAUUAAUACCGCAUGAGACCACAGAAUCGCAUGAUAUAGGGGUCAAAGAUUUAUCGGUGUAAGAAGGGCUCGCGUCUGAUUAGCUAGUUGGAAGGGUAAAGGCCUACCAAGGCGACGAUCAGUAGCCGGUCUGAGAGGAUGAACGGCCACAUUGGAACUGAGACACGGUCCAAACUCCUACGGGAGGCAGCAGUGGGGAAUAUUGCACAAUGGGGGGAACCCUGAUGCAGCGACGCCGCGUGAGCGAAGAAGGUUUUCGAAUCGUAAAGCUCUGUCCUAUGAGAAGAUAAUGACGGUAUCAUAGGAGGAAGCCCCGGCUAAAUACGUGCCAGCAGCCGCGGUAAUACGUAUGGGGCGAGCGUUGUCCGGAAUUAUUGGGCGUAAAGGGUACGUAGGCGGCCUUUUAAGUCAGGUGUGAAAGCGUGAGGCUUAACCUCAUUAAGCACUUGAAACUGGAAGGCUUGAGUGAAGGGGAGGAAAGUGGAAUUCCUAGUGUAGCGGUGAAAUGCGUAGAUAUUAGGAGGAAUACCGGUGGCGAAGGCGACUUUCUGGACUUUUACUGACGCUCAGGUACGAAAGCGUGGGGAGCAAACAGG
rnacentral:rRNA from 1 species